rnacentral:rRNA from 1 species
UACGAAGGGGGGCUAGCGUUGUCCGGAAUUACUGGGCGUAAAGCGCGUGUAGGCGGAUGGGCAAGUCUGCUGUGAAAGCUCCUGGCUUAACCGGGAGUGGUCGGUGGAAACUGCCAAUCUGGAGGACGGUAGAGGUAGGUAGAAUUCCCCGGUGUAGUGGUGAAAUGCGUAGAGAUCGGGAGGAAUACCUGUGGCGAAGGCGGCCUACUGGGCCGGACCUGACGCUGAGACGCGAAGGCGUGGGGAGCGAACGGG